rnacentral:tRNA from 2 species
AGUUAAUAAGCUUUAAAAGCAAAUAUUUUGAAAAUAUUUAUUAGAUAUAAAAUUAUCUAUUAACUU